GUGGGGAAUAUUGGGCAAUGGGCGAAAGCCUGACCCAGCAACGCCGCGUGAAGGAAGAAGGCCCUCGGGUUGUAAACUUCUUUUAAGAGGGACGAAAGAAAUGACGGUACCUCUUGAAUAAGCCACGGCUAACUACGUGCCAGCAGCCGCGGUAAUACGUAGGUGGCGAGCGUUAUCCGGAUUUACUGGGUGUAAAGGGCGUGUAGGCGGGAGUGCAAGUCAGAUGUGAAAAUUAUGGGCUCAACCCAUAACCUGCAUUUGAAACUGUUCUUCUUGAGUGAUGGAGAGGCAGGCGGAAUUCCGUGUGUAGCGGUGAAAUGCGUAGAUAUACGGAGGAACACCAGUGGCGAAGGCGGCCUGCUGGACAUUAACUGACGCUGAGGCGCGAAAGCGUGGGGAGCAAACAGGAUUAGAAACCCGUGUAGUCC
rnacentral:rRNA from 1 species